rnacentral:rRNA from 1 species
GACGAACGCUGGCGGCGCGCUUAACACAUGCAAGUCGAACGGAAAGGCCCUGCUUUUGUGGGGUGCUCGAGUGGCGAACGGGUGAGUAACACGUGAGUAACCUGCCCUUGACUUUGGGAUAACUUCAGGAAACUGGGGCUAAUACCGGAUAGGAGCUCCUGCUGCAUGGUGGGGGUUGGAAAGUUUCGGCGGUUGGGGAUGGACUCGCGGCUUAUCAGCUUGUUGGUGGGGUAGUGGCUUACCAAGGCUUUGACGGGUAGCCGGCCUGAGAGGGUGACCGGCCACAUUGGGACUGAGAUACGGCCCAGACUCCUACGGGAGGCAGCAGUGGGGAAUAUUGCACAAUGGGCGGAAGCCUGAUGCAGCAGCGCCGCGUGCGGGAUGACGGCCUUCGGGUUGUAAACCGCUUUCGCCUGUGACGAAGCGUGAGUGACGGUAAUGGGUAAAGAAGCACCGGCUAACUACGUG